rnacentral:rRNA from 1 species
CCUCCGGGAACCAAGUGACAGGUGUUGCAUGGCCGUCGUCAGCCUCGUGUCGUGAGAUGUUUGGUUAAGUCCAUCAACGAGCGCAACCCUUGUGGCUAGUUGAAUUUUUCUAGUCAGACUGCCCUGGUAACAGGGAGGAAGGAGGGGAUGAUGUCAGGUCAGUAUUACCCUUACGUCUGGGGCUACAAACACGCUACAAUGGCCGGUACAAAGGGCUGCCAAGUCGCGAGACGGAGCAAAUCCCAUCAAAACCGGUCCCAGUUCGGAUUGCAGGCUGAAACUCGCCUGCAUGAAGUCGGAAUCGCUAGUAACGGUAGGUCAGCACACUACCGUGAAUACGUUCCCGGGUCUUGUACACACCGCCCGUCAAACCAUGAAAGUCGCCAAUACCUGACGUCUUAAGCUAGUCUAGGCCUAAGGUAGGGGAGAUGAUUGGGGUUAAGUCGUAACAAGGUAAC